rnacentral:rRNA from 1 species
AUUGAACGCUGGCGGCAGGCCUAACACAUGCAAGUCGAGCGAGCGGCGGACGGGUGAGUAAUGUCUGGGAAACUGCCUGAUGGAGGGGGAUAACCACUGGAAACGGUAGCCAAUACCGCAUACCAUCAGAUGUGCCUAGAUGGGACUAGCUGGUAGGUUGGGUAACGGCUCACCUAGGCGACGAUCCCUAGCUGGUCUGAGCGGAUGACCAGUCACACUGAAACUGAGACACGGUCCGAACACCUACGGUAGUCAGAAGUGGGGAUUAUUGCACAAUGGGCGCAAGCCUAUUGCGGCCAUGCGCCGUGUGUGAGGAAGGCCUUCGGGUUGUAAAGCACUUUCAGCGGGAAGGCGUUACCCGCAGAAGAAGCACCGGCUAACUCCGUGCCAGCCGCCGCGGUAAUUC